rnacentral:rRNA from 1 species
ACAUCGGAACGUGCCCAAUCGUGGGGGAUAACGCAGCGAAAGCUGUGCUAAUACCGCAUACGAUCUACGGAUGAAAGCAGGGGAUCGCAAGACCUUGCGCGAAUGGAGCGGCCGAUGGCAGAUUAGGUAGUUGGUGAGGUAAAGGCUCACCAAGCCUUCGAUCUGUAGCUGGUCUGAGAGGACGACCAGCCACACUGGGACUGAGACACGGCCCAGACUCCUACGGGAGGCAGCAGUGGGGAAUUUUGGACAAUGGGCGAAAGCCUGAUCCAGCCAUGCCGCGUGCAGGAUGAAGGCCUUCGGGUUGUAAACUGCUUUUGUACGGAACGAAACGGCCUUUUCUAAUAAAGAGGGCUAAUGACGGUACCGUAAGAAUAAGCACCGGCUAACUACGUGCCAGCAGCCGCGGUAAUACGUAGGGUGCAAGCGUUAAUCGGAAUUACUGGGCGUAAAGCGUGCGCAGGCGGUAAUGUAAGACAGUUGUGAAAUCCCCGGGCUCAACCUGGGAACUGCAUCUGUGACUGCAUUGCUGGAGUACGGCAGAGGGGGAUGGAAUUCCGCGUGUAGCAGUGAAAUGCGUAGAUAUGCGGA